CAGGCCUAACACAUGCAAGUCGAGCGGGCCCUUUGGGGUCAGCGGCGGACGGGUGAGUAACGCGUGGGAACGUGCCUUCUGGUCUGGAAUAACCCUGGGAAACUAGGGCUAAUACUGGAUACGCCCUUUUGGGGAAAGGUUUACUGCCGGAAGAUCGGCCCGCGUCUGAUUAGCUAGUUGGUGGGGUAACGGCCUACCAAGGCGACGAUCAGUAGCUGGUCUGAGAGGAUGAUCAGCCACACUGGGACUGAGACACGGCCCAGACUCCUACGGGAGGCAGCAGUGGGGAAUAUUGGACAAUGGGCGCAAGCCUGAUCCAGCCGUGCCGCGUAAGUGAUGAAGGCCUUAGGGUUGUAAAGCUCUUUUAUCCGGGACGAUAAUGACGGUACCGGAGGAAUA
rnacentral:rRNA from 1 species